UCAUGGCUUCCUGACAAACAGAACUGCAACCAACUAUCCAUAUCACAUCGACUUUAUUUGCUAAUUCUGGUUGUUCAGUAAAUUUUAACGUAUCAGCCAGACUUCUGGCAAGAAAAAGAGCUCCUUGUGGAGGUUCCUUGAAUUCUCUGCUGAGAACUAAAUUUAUUCUAUAUUUUAAAGUUGAUUCUUCUCAGGAAUCAACUUCCUGAGUCAUAAGCACCUUCCUACCCAUAAUCACCAGAGUCUGUUGACUUUCUACUGAGGAGGUUGUGGUCAUUCUCUGGAAAUAUCUGAAUUCAUUCUUGAGCAGUAGCCAGGGCAGCCCCCGAUCUUGCCGAUGCCCAUGUUCUGGGACACAGCGACAAUGCAGUUUAGCAAAUGAACCAUGACAGCAGCGGUGAGCACCUCCGAGCCCACUCACUUGGCUACAUUUAAGAUCGCCGUUUCUCUUUAACAUCUGAAGUUCUAGCGCAGUAUGAGCCACUGUGCCAGGCCUGUGGUCUUUUGAUUCACUAAGUGGCUUAAUAAGACAAAGUUGAUUUGAGCCAAUACUUCCGGCAUGUUCAUUUUGAUUUGUAACAGAAGUUUUCUCUGAAUCCAUCCGCAUAAAGUGAAUUGGAAAACUGCAAUCAUAGCCAAAGCUAGAAAAUCCUGGAAGUAGUCAGUGUUUCUCUUCAUCACCAAAGACUUGUCUCCAAUUUUUACUAUUGUUCUAUUUAUUCCAGCCAGUCAACAGUAGUAGCUGAAAAGAGAGAGGACACUGAUGAAGAACACGGCGGGCACUGAGAAAAGGAAGAGUAUGCGGAGCUUUGCUGUGUAUCUGUCAGUUCAUUCUACUCCUCUAGAAUGUGGCGUUCUCAAGACUUGAUGUCCUCCAGGCCCCCAUAAGGUAGUGAGCACCCUGAGAGCCAGCUGGACUCACCUCUUGUGUGUAACUGCACAGUCACAGCAUCUGGGGACUUGUCCUGCACUUCUGGAAUCAACUCUCUUGGUCGUGGUGGCUGCUGCUUCAUUGUCCUUCUGAGAGACUGGGUCUCGCCAUGUUGCCCAGGCUGGAGUGCAGUGGCUAUUCACAGGUGCUAUCCCCCUACUGAUCAGCACAGGAGUUUUGACUUGCUCGUUUCUGACCUGGGCCGGUUCACCCCUCCUUAGGCAAUCUUGUGUUUUCCUGCUCCCUGGAGGUCACCAUAUUGAUGCCAAACUUAGUGGGGACACCCAAUCGGCAUAGCUCACUACAGCCCAGAACUCCUGGGCUCAAGUGAUCCUCCCACCUCAGACUCCUGAGUAGCUGGGACUACAGGCACGCACCACCACGCCCGGUGGUGCUGUCUCACUUUUGAGCAGCCUGCCCUGAUCAGCUGUCAG
rnacentral:lncRNA from 13 species